UUCUUCCAAAUAAGCGAUCGUGAGCUAUUCGGAGUUAUCUUCGCUUACCGGAAGUGACGUAGAUUGAGGACUUGAUACCAAAACUAAUUCAAAACAGAAAAACGUUAAAUUAUUCAAUUUUAAACAAGCUGAUAUCAGGAUGUGAAAGCUUUCUGUGUAUUUUAACUUUGUAUUGCCAAACGUCAAUACUGACUACAUAAAUAUUCAUGACAAUGGCCAGUGUCCUGGCAGAUGUGGAUACAAACAGAGUCCUACAAAAAUGUAGUUGUUCAAAGCUGACAGAAAAGGACAUCCCAGGAGCAACAUUAAGCACUGUACCAGAGAAAUGCAGAGUGACAGACCUGAGGGUGUGGUUAAAGUGCCGAGGUCAAAAAGUCAAAUCUAAAGAGAACAAGGCU